GCCAUUUGGUAGAGGCUGUGAGGCCACCUGGGCCCAGCAGACCCCAGAGAGCAGCCACAUUCGCUGGUGCUAGAACAAGGUCAUUGGGGGUGAAGCCCGGUACCAGAUGUGU
ensembl:rRNA 5S_rRNA 5S ribosomal RNA